rnacentral:siRNA from 1 species
UCGAUCUUCCUGCUGCCUACCCAA